rnacentral:rRNA from 1 species
UACGUAGGGGCCAAGCGUUGUCCGGAUUUAUUGGGCGUAAAGAGCUCGUAGGCGGUUCGGCAAGUCAGCUGUGAAAUCUCCACGCUCAACGUGGAGGGUCAGCUGAUACUGCUGUGACUUGAGUCCGGUAGGGGAGUGUGGAAUUCCCGGUGUAGCGGUGAAAUGCGCAGAUAUUGGGAAGAACACCGGUGGCGAAGGCGGCUCUCU